GUUUUUAUAGUUGAAUAACAACACUGAUUUUUCAUUUCGGAGGUCUGGCUUAGAGUUGCUAGUGAAAAUG
rnacentral:tRNA from 1 species